rnacentral:rRNA from 1 species
UACGUAGGGUGCAGGCGUUAAUCGGAAUUACUGGGCGUAAAGCGUGCGCAGGCGGUUUGCUAAGCCCGGUGUGAAAUCCCCGGGCUUAACCUGGGAACUGCGCUUGUGACUGCAAGACUCGAGUACGGCAGAGGGGGGUGGAAUUCCACGUGUAGCAGUGAAAUGCGUAGAGAUGUGGAGGAACACCGAUGGCGAAGGCAGCCCCCUGGGUCGAUACUGACGCUCAUGCACGAAAGCGUGGGGAGCAAACAGG